rnacentral:lncRNA from 1 species
GGUUCUACAGGUGCUGCUCCAACUGCUGUACGAGCUACACCUCGACCUCUACCACGGCCCCGGCCUCUCGCGACCCUAACUGGUGGCUGACCGUCUGAUCCGGUAGUACAUGUUCUCACCAUCUGUGAGAGAAUAAAAUAACAAAAAUUUAGUUUCCGGAACCAACAAAUUCGCACGGCAGAAUACAAGAAAGUGAAAUUUUCCUAAGGGUUCGGUAGCCUCUCGAAGAUAAGUAUAGAUGUCUCUGUAUCGAUCUGCAAGACUCUACUAAACCUGCUUAUGACUCGUGAGACCUAUGUAAUCUAGGCUCUGAUACCAACUUGUUACGACCCAAAAUCACACCUAUCGUGAUGACGCCUAUCUUAAUACUAGGUAAGCCGACAACUUCAAUAAACCACAAAUUCUUUUAAGUUUGAACAUAUAAUAUUUAAAUUCAAUAUAAAAAUCUCACAAAUACUGAUAUAAAACACUACUAAAACCUGGUGUCACUGAGUACAUGAGCAUCUAAAUGAAAACAUAGUCUGAGGGAUAAAAUCACUAUCUGGAAAUGUAGGACAUUACAAACAACUGAAAGGAAGGAGAGUCAAGGUCUGUGGACGUCAAGCAGCUACCUCGAUAGUCUCCAACAGAUAAAACUUCUGAAAUCUAGCAACUGCCGUAUCCGAAAGUACCUGGAUCUACAUACGAAGUGUAGAGUGUAGUAUGAGUAUAACCAACUCAAUAAGUAACAAGCCUAACCUUUGGGCUAAAAGUAGUGACGAGCUUAACAUGUACAGUCCAGUAUAGAAAUAACAACACAGAAAUGUAGGCAUACUUUCAAGUUUCACAGUUAAACUCAGUAAAAGUAAAUUAGAUCAAUUUUGAAUGAUAUGAGAAAUAUAACAUCUCUAUAUCUACAUGCCAAUGUACAUGUUGUGUGUGAUGCACCUCAGUGAAAAAUCGCAUGUACUCACGAUCAAAAACUACUCAGUCACUUAGUAUUGUAUAUGGCCAAUCAGCCCAAGGAAGCUUUAUCUCCAAACAUGAAUGAUUCGGACAAGAUCCAUAUCCAGGGAAUUCAUCACAAUUAUAAAUAAAUAAGACAACUCCAUGCCCUGGGCAGUUCAUCCCGAAUAUAAAAUCAUCUGCGCUCAUUGUGGGGGGUGUAGACUCCGGAGGUGCUCCUUCAGCUCAAGCGCUAUAUAAAGCCGAUAUGGCCUACUGCGGCGUGCAGUCCGAUCCCAUAACAAUAAAGCCAAUAAGGUAUAUUGCGGCGUGCAGCCCCGAUCCGUAUAAUAAUAAUAAUAAUAAAAAUAUACAUACAGCCAAUAUGGCCUGCUGCGGCGCGCAGCUCAAUCCCAUAAAUAUCCUCACAAUGGAUGAACGUGACUGAGUAUGAAAUGUACAUUUUAAAACAAUUAAUUCAAAAGCAACACGACCCUAUGGGUCCCAAAAUAUUGGCACGUAUCCUAAACAUGAUCUUUAAUAUGAGCCUCAGCUCAAUUUCUCUAACACGUGGAGGAUAUGCGAAAAACGACAUGAUUCUCAAAUAUUUACAACUCCACAGAAUUUCUUUAACUCACAAUUUCUAUGGUGCACGCCCACACGCCCAUCACGUAGCAUGUGUUUCACCUUCAUACAAUUCACAUGACAUGUAAUUCAGGGAUUUAUACCCUUAGAAUCAAGUUUAGAAGUGUUACUUACCUCAAACCGUGCAAAUUCUUUAUCCCAAUAUGCCUUUGCCUCACAAAUCAGCCUUUGAAUGCCCCGAAUCUCGUCACAAUUAAUUUAAUUCAGUCAAUACAAAUUAUAGAAAUUAAUUCCAUAUGAAAUACUAAUUUUCCAACAAAAUCCGAAAUUUCACUCAAAAAUCGUCAGAGGGGUCCACGUCUUGGAACCCGACAAAAGUUACAAAAUAUAAACACCCACUCAAGCACGAGUCCGACCAUACCAAAUUUACCAAAUUCCGACAUAAACUCGAUCCUCAAAUCUGCAAUUUAAACUUAAGGGUUUUCACAAUUUUUCCAACUUAAAACACCAAUUAAAUACUAAUAAUAGCAAUAGAUUCGGGUAAUUUGACCAAAAUUGAGGUAAAAACACUUACCCCAAUAUUUUCGUUGAAAAUUUCCUGAAAAUCGCCUCCCUUCGAGCUCCAAAUCGUUAAAAAUGAAAAAUGCGACGAAGUCUCAUUUUCAGAACUUAAACUCUCUACCCAGUCAUUUGCUCUACGCAAUCGCGGAUAAUGCCACGCAAUCGCAAAGAAAAAAAUCACUCAAUGCCGAUAAUAAGCUUACGCGAUCGCGGAUAAUACCACCCGAUCGCGAAGCACAACCUCGCUUGGCCCCUAUUACCUUAUUUCUUCUACGCGAGCGUGACAUGCCUCACACAUUCGCGAUGCACUGGCGUCCAAAGCUACGCGAUUGCAGCCCCAUUAUCGCAAUCGCGUAGAACGAAAUUCUCCUCUGCCCAGCUAAGCCUACGCGAUCGCGGACCUUCUCAUGCGAUCGCGUAGAAGGAAACCAGACAGUGCAUCAGAAAUUUCCUGCAAAGUUCAAAGUCCAAAAUUCAAUCUGUUAACAAUCUGAAACUCACCCGAGGCCCCGGGGACCUCAACCAAACAUAUCAACAAGUCCUAAAAUAUCAUACGAUCUUAUUCGAAGCCUCAAAUCACAUCAAACAAUGCUAAAACAUGAAUCAUACCCCAAUUCAAGCUUAAUGAAACUAAGAAAUUCCAACUUCUACAUUCGAUGCCGAAACCUAUGAAAUCAAGUCCGAUUGACCUCAAAUUUUGCACAGAAGUCAUAAAUGACAUAACGGACCUAUGAAAAUUUUCAGAACUGGAUUCCGACCCCGAUAUCAAAAAGUCAACUCCCCAGUCAAACUUCCAAACUUAAAUUUCCUAUUUUUGCCAUUUCAAGCCUAAUUUCACUACGAACUUGCAAAUAAUUUUUCGAACACACUCCUAAGUCCUAAAUCAUCAUACGAAGCGAUUGGAAUCAUCAAAACUCUAUUCUGGGGUCGUUUAUAUAUAAGUCAAUAUCUGUUCAACCUUUUCAACUUAAGUUUUAAACCUUGGAACUAAGUGUUCCAAUUCAUUCCAAAACCUCACCGAACCCAAACCAAUUAUCCCGGCAACUCAUAUAACAACUGUAAAAUAUAAAUUGAGAAGUAAAUGGUUGAACGAGACUGUAAUAUUCAAAAUGAUCACCCGGGUCGUUAUAGAUGCUUCAACAUGAAGAGCAGUGGACUUUUAAAAUUCAACUUGAAAAAUUAGCAGACUUGAAAACUUCAGCUUUAAGACUUUUAGGGCUUAAAUAAUUCAACUUAAAGACCGACGAAUUUGAGGACUUCAAAUUGAAGGCCGACGGACAUGAAGACUUGGAGGGAUUGAAUACUUCAACUUAAAGUUUGGCGAACUUGCAGACUUCAACUUGAAGGGCAGUGGACUUGCAAAAUUUAACUUGAAAAGCGACAUACUUGAAGAUUUGGAGGGCUUAUAUAAUUCAACUUGAAGACCGGCGAACUUGAGGACUUCAAAUUGAAGAUUUGGCCUUCUACUAAAAGUCUACAUCUAUCCAUUGGAGAUGCCAAAUUACCAUGGAGGCUUGCCUCUAUUGAACCACCAAUCCUUGAUAAGGCACAAAGUUCAUGCAAUCCCGAUUUUUAAGUUCCAAUCAAGUGGAUUAUAUUCCAUCAUUCUUUCUUCGAAUAAUGAUUGGGGUACUAUGUAUCUUUUGAACUCAUACAUCAUGGAGCAUUAUAACUUGCAGCUUAGGCUUAUGCAUUGAGGAGCGUUACAACAUGCAGUUUAGGCUCGUGCAUUAAGAAGCAUUAUAACUUGAAGUUUAGGCUCGUAUGUUAAGGAGCGUUACGACUUACAGUUUAGGCUCAUGCGUCAUGGAGCACUAUAACUUGCAUAGACUCUUCAGUUUCAUCUUCGGAUGAAUACUUGCCCCAUUCCCAGCAUCGUCUAUUUCUAUUUCAUCAAGAGGCUCAAAUCCAAGAAAGCUUUCAUCUCCACUUGUAGCCAUACUCAAUUCCAUAUCAUGUGCACGAGUUGCUAGUUCUUCAAAUAUUUUGGGCUUUAUGCGUUGUAAGAUAUAGCGUAGACUCCAAUGCAUGCCUUGAAUGCACAUUUUGAUGCCAGAAGUUAUUCUAAGGUGAUCUUUGCAGUUGAGGCUUAAGAACCUCCAACGGUUGAUGAAGUCAAUAACUAGCUCAUUAUUUCCUUGAUGAGUGUUUAUAAGUUCGAUCAUGCUUACGAUGCGUCUUGUGUUAUAGAAAUGAUUGAGAAACCUUUGCUUCAACUGUUCCGAACUAUCGAUAAAACUAGGUUUGAGACCUGUGUACCAAUUGAAUGCAUUACCUUUGAGAGAACGAACAAACUGUUUGUCAAGAUGAUCACCAUAAGUGCCAGAGUUGUUGCAUGUCUUGACGAAAUGCACCACAUGUUGCUUGGGAUUUCCUUUUCCAUCAAAAUUUUGACGCUUACGAGGUUGAUAUCCAGUAGGCAUCUUUAAGUUAUCAAUCUGUUGUGUGUAUGACUUUGCAUAUGCGAGGUAAGGUUUAAUCGGAGGAUCAAUUUUAUCUUCAAUUGUCCCCAUGAUGAAGUCCUUCAAUUGAACAACAUGAAUUAGGCCUUAUGAAGAAACUUGGAUCUCUUUAACCACGAUUAUUUGCCUCGUAGAGGAUUCUCCCUCUUCUUUAUCUUCGGAAAGCUCCACACAUGCUUGAAUUGAUUUUGCUUUUGCUAAUCUCUCGAUCUCACUUGCUAACUUUUCGAGGCGAGUAUCUUGAUCCUUCAUAUACUUGGUCAACUUUUCAAGUGCUUUGGUCAAAUUCGUAAGUUGUUCUUCCAUGGUCGAAUUGUUAGAUCUUGUUCUUGAAUAUGGAAAAGAAGAGAUGAGAGGUAGAGAUCGUCCCACUGGGCGUACCAAAAUUUGUAGACAAUAAAUUUGCAUCAAGAAAAUAAUCAAUACCGAAAAAUAUUACAACAAUCGUAGUAUUUGAUUUCCAAUAAUAUGAAUGUACAAUCUCAAUGAAUCCUCUAAUUCUUCUUUCCAAUAGUAAAUAAAUCCAAGGGCUUUUUGAGUUUGAUCUUGAAUAUGUAGUUGUUGCCACGAACGAUGAUCUUGAAUUCAACUAUCUCAAACUUUGAUUUGAACUCAUACUCCUUGAAUCUUGAUUUGUUCUUCGUUCUUGAGCUUGAACUCGAUUUCUUGAACAUGAACUUGAUUGCUUGAAGCUUGAAACUUAUAGAAAAAUUUAUGGCGUUUGAUCCACGAGCUCUCUCUUGCUUCUUGUUAUAACAUCUGGUAUCUUUUUUGAGUUAUGAAGAGCCCUAUUUAUAGUUGUGGGAGAGAAGAGUUACGAUAAGAACAAACUCUUUCCGACCAAUCAAAUUAAAGUGUGACAAGAUCGCAUUUGAUUGGCCAGAACAUGUCACUUGCACACGUGGCACGAUUUCAUUGGCCUUUUAAUGUGACGUGGCUUGCCUUGUAAUUUUGACAUGUGGCACGAUCCUAUUGGCUCUUCCGCUUGACUUGGCGUGCCAUGUCAUUUGACACGUGGCACUAAACUUGGCCUCUAGGAAGAUGACAUAUUGGGCCUAAUGAAGUGAGUUCAUCACUUGUAGCCCAACUAAAUAAGCGAGCCCAAUGGAUUAAGACUUAUUUAUUUAAUCCAUAUAUAUUGGACUUAAAUAAUUAAUUCACUUAUAUUAGCCCAAAAUAUUUAUUUGGACUAAUAUAGUCCAAAUUAUUUUAUUGAAUUUAAAUUCAAUAAAUUUUGCAUGUGUACCAUCUUUAUGGGCACAAAAAAGAGUUAAAACAAAAAUUGGAUGACAAUUAUACUCUAAAAUUUGCAAUAUAAACUAGUCUAGGCAAAAUGUCAUUCCUCACUUAAAGACUAAGACGUACAUAAUGAGAUAUUUGGUCAUAGGAAAAUUUUUACCAAAGUCCUAAGCAGAGGCGUAGCUACUUGUACCAAUCAGGGGUCACUGGAUCCCAUAAACUUCAGCUGAAAUCUUGUAUAUCUAUAUGUGUAUACCUUAAAAUUAAUUAUAUAAGUAAUUUGGCACUCUGAACACUAAAAACCUUUAAGGGACACACACAAAAAAAGUAAUGGUGCCCCCAUCACGUAAAAUUUCUGGGUCCACCUCUGGUCAUAAGAGCAUAAUCAUAGAGCAGAAUAAAAGUUAAAAAAUCAUAAGUAUUUUAAAUCAUUAGUGAAGCUGAUGUUCGGCAAAAAAUGUAUUUGUUUAACCAUUUUGCCUCACAUUCUAGUACUUUUAAUCGUCUUUUGAGUAUUAAUUAUAUUACUUUAUAUUUAUUAUUAUAUUUUAACUGAGUAGAAAUAAAGCGGUUUGAAGAUGAAGAGAUUUUGAACAAAAUUAAUAAAACACGAAAGAAAAAGAACGAAAAAUAAAACAAUUAAAGGGGAAGGAGACAAAGAGGGGACACCCUUUGGUGUUUGUCCCCCAAGUGUAAGUAACAGAAAAGGAAAAUGCAAUUCAAAGAAUUGAAGGAUGCUUUUGCAUCUAUACCUGGUAUUCGGGUCACAAUUGAACCUAUACCCACUUUGCAAAAAGAUUUACAAGCCUACCCAUUUUACGGUCAACUUUAACUUAUCAGAUCUGAAGUUAAAAAUAAUUAGCCUGAAGUGAAAAAAUUGUACUUCAAAUGUACUUAAGGCCAAAUAGGUCUGAAGUGCAACCAAUUGUUUCAUGCACUUCAGACCAAUAAGUCUAAAGUGGAAAAUUGUUCUUCAUAUGUACUUAAGGCGAAAAGAAAGAAAAAAUGUGACUUUUAUUAAGAUUUAACAUAAUAUUGUAACACUUUUUUCCAUAUCAAUUAUCAACGCAAUUACUUUAACAAGCUCCGAAGACUAAAGAUGGUGAUCAAAAUUUUUCCUCUAAUUAGGGAGAGGCAAAAGACGAGCUAUGCGCUUUUGCGCAAACGGUAUAUUUUGUGUUAAAAGAUUUAUUAAAUAUGUACAAAUAUUAUAUAUAGAACUUAUUAACACUUGAAGCCAUCGGUCUAAAAUCUAAAACCCAUAAGGCUAAAAUCCUAGGUCAAUCUCUGCCUCUGGUGACCCGAAAGACGACCAAAUCAACCAAGUCUCGGAACGUUUCAAUCAUAAAUAUAAAUAUGGUGGCAAAUUCCUGCAACUCGCCCAAAGACUUGUGCAAUUUUGCGCAGUUUUGCGCAGUUUCAUUCAAGAAUAUAGGUAAUAACCACAACUCUUGUAAAGGUCAAUUUUGUGCAGUUUCAUUCAAGAAAAAUAAAAUAUAUAUAUAUAUAUAUAUAUAUAUAUCAGAAAGAUUGGGAGAAAAAGUUCAAGUGGCAGAUGAAGAAAAUAAUUUAAGUGCUAGUGAUUGACUCGGAAAGGAGUCAUCCACUAAUUUUUAUAACCAAAUGUGAGGGUGCUCAUUCGGAAGGAGAGACCAAUGCACCUCAAUGACACGACAAUAGCGUAGUCAGAAAUUUCGUCAAGGGUGUUUAAACUUUUAAAAAAUCAAUAAUUGUUUUUUGAUGAAUGGGUACACCGAAAAUUUUAAAUCAAACUAAGCAUUAUUUAGCUAAAUACUAUAAUUUUAUAAAUUAAAACUAAUGGAGUAUAAAAGAGAUUUAAAAAAAAUCAACUAAUAAAAGUAAGCAUAAAACCUCGAAAAGAUAGAGUCAUGAGAGUUUCUAGUCUCCAUUUAUGGGCGGAUAAAAAUAUUUAGACAAGGAUUCAAACCCAUUAACACCAUCAAACUUUGAAUACCCUUGGCCGUUGUUCUACUUCUUUGAGUUGUGCAGGGGCGGGCGUAGCAUGUUCAUUAUGGAUUCGGCUGAAUCCAAUAACUUGUAUUUGUAAAGAAAUUCAUUAAAAAUGUACAAAUUAUUAUUAAUUUAGAACCCAACAACUUAAAAAUAUUAAAAUCACUAACCCAUAUAGUUUAAAUCCUGGCCCCGCCUCUAUUAGCUAGUAUGUAGUACACUAUAAUUUAAUAGAUGUAGCAUUACUUUUCACCUCACAGUUCUAUUUAAUAGAUGAAAGCCGGACUUGGUUGACUUACACAAGUCUUUGGGCGGGUUGCAGGAAUUUGCCACCAUAUUUAUAUUUAUGAUUGAAACCUGCCAAGACUUGGUUGAUUUGGUCGUAUUUGGUGUCACCGGAGGCAGAGAUAGACCAAGAAUUUUAGCCUUAUGAGUUUUGGAUUCUAUAUCGAUGACUUCAAGCGUUAAUGAUUUAUAUAUAUAAUAUUUGUAUAUAUUUAAUAAAUUUUUUAACAAAAAAUAUAUCGUUUGCGCAAAAGCGCAUAGCUCGUCUUUUGCCUUUCCCUAAUUAGAGGAAGAAUUUUGAUCACCAUCUUUAGUCUUCGGAGCUUGUUAAAGUAAUUGUGUUGAUAAUUGAUAUGGAAAAAAGGGUUACAAUAUUAUGUUAAAUCUUAAUAAAAGUCACAUUUUUCUUUCUUUUGGCCUUAAGUGCAUCUAAAGUGCAAUUUUUUACUUCAAACUUAUUGGUCUUAAGUGCAUGAAACUAUUGGUUGCACUUCAGACUUAUUUGGCCUUAAGUGCAUCUGAAGUACAAUUUUUUCACUUCAGGCUAAUUUUUUUUAACUUCAGAUCCAAUAAGUUUAAAGUUGACCGUAAAAUGGAUAGGUUUGUAAAUUCUUUUUGCAAAGUGGGUAUAGGUUCAAUUGUGAUCCUAAUACCGGAUAUAGUAGCAAAAGCAUCCUUCAAUUCUUUGAAUUGCAUUUUCCUUUUCUGUUUCUUACACUUUGGGGACAAUCACCAAAGGGUGUCCCCUCUUUGUCUCCUUUCUAUUUAAUUAUUUUAUUUUCCGUUCUUUUUCUUUCGCAUUUUAUUAAUUUUUCUCCCAAUCUCCUUAUCUUCAAACUGUUUUAUUUCUGAAAUUUUUCACCUUCCUACUUUGUUUUUCUGAAAUAUUUUCUUAAAAGUCUACUAAGAAUUUAGUCACACUCACGGCCUUCCUUGAAAUGUUUUUCUGUUAAAGUUAUACUGACAAAUUAUAGCCAUAACAUCCAGAAAACGACAUGCCACAGACAAUUAUUGUCGCACCUCCUUUUUUCGGAAGGAAGGAUUAGAGUGUUUUUUCAAUUAAAGUGACAAUAAUCGAAAUGAGAUUAUUUAUUUAUUUUCAGAGUCGCCAUUUGGGAUAAUUAUAUGGUAUCCCAAGUCAUUAGUUUAUUUUAGAAUUCCAAAUCGAGGAAAUUGACUCUUAUUUAUGGUCUGCGAACACAGAAGAUCGGGUAAGAAAUUCUGUUAACCCAGGAGAAGAUGUGAGGCACUCCCGAGUUCCGUGUUUUUAUCACGGUCGCUCAUCUAUUAAUAAUUGGCCUAAUUAUCUGAUUUAUUACAUAUUUGGAACCUAUUGUGCAUUUUUUAAACUUUCUAGCCACUUUUAAUUAUUUAUGGAGUUUGUUUGAACAAGUCACGAUAUCGCGCACUCGUUUGUUUUUGUACAUAUUGCGAAUCGCGUCACGGGAACCGUACCCACAUUCUAUAAUAUGUUAAUUUUAUUAUUAUUCGAAGUUAUGGUCGAGUCACGUGAAACGCACACUCGAAUUGAGGAUUACGUAUCAUGACUAUGUCACGGGAAUCAUACUCAUAGUCACGAUGAUUAUUUUUUAUUAAUCGCACCUAAAGUAAACUACGAUAUUCAUAAGUGAUUAUUUUUCUAAAUUUGAGAUUGUUGUGAGGCCAUGCAAAUGUACCUACAAGACAAUUGCAGAAACUAUGAAACAGAACUUGAGGUUUGAAGAGAAGAAUAUCAAAUGAAAAAUUAUUGAGGACCCCCUUAAAAGAGCUUCUCAUGGUAUUCGAAGAAGCAAAGCAGUACAUAAAACCAUCCCUGGAAAUGAAGAAAUUUUGGGCAAAAGCCAUAGUUCUUUACAAGAAUACAGAUUAUGUUGAAUUUCACAUCCACAAUUUACUUUCUUGCGUGCCAAUUGUCAUUGAGGCUAUAGAAAUAGUAGGAGACAUUUCCACUGGAUAAUUAAAUGAGUUGUACCACAAUGUAUGAACUAAUAGCUCAUCUAAACUAUUAAAUAAUUACAUAGAACCAAAGGCUUAAAACCAUAAAUCAAUCUACAUCUCAACAUCUUUCAAUCACUAAUUUUCAUAUUUGCACAUUAGUAAUCAAAAGUUCACUGUUAAUGUGACAAAGACUAACCAAAUGGACACUAUAACAAUUAUAUCAUGAAAGAAGUAAAACAGAGAGAUGGUAAUCUCAAAGAAACAGAUAAACCCAUUAGGAUGGCGGACCGAAAGAAAACUAAUACAGAAAGGAAAAUUAAUCAAGAUCUUUCACCAAACUAGUAAAAUGAAUGUGAGAUAAAAUAAACACAAGGAAAAGAACCUGUAGUAUUGCAAAGCAAAGUACUUAUUUAAUAUGAUGACAACAAUCACCCUCCAACUUAUACAACAACUCGUUAAAUGUAGAACCGAACAUCGCCGACCUCAUCAACGGAACCUCGGACGACGACCACCUUAACGACGGCUUGGAUUUUUGAAAGACCUUGGGGUUGUUUCGUGGUGUUAAAGGGUGAUUUUGGAGCUGGUUUCAUGGCAUUUUUGAGGCAGUAUUUCAGCUGAUUUUGAGCUGGAAUUUCAGCUUAUUUGGGGCUGCUUAAAUGGUAUUUUUGGAGCUAAAAAUGGUAGUUUUUUUGGAGGAAGAAGAAUAAAAGCAGCGGCUCCUCUUUUGCCUUAGCUCUAGGGUGAUUUUUGUUCUCUCUUUUGUGGUGUGGAGCUUGAAAACUAAGAAGAGGGUUCGGCUCUUUUGUGAGGAAGAAGCAGAUAAACAGCCGCCGUCCCUUCACUUAGGGAUUUAGGGAUUUAGGAAUUUAGGAAUUUAGGUUAGCUCCCCUUUUUUUGUUUUUUCAUUAUGUUUUUAUAUGGUGGAUAGAUAGGAUAUGGGCAAUUGGAUGAGAGUAGAUCGAUGAUUAUGUUUAAGGGGUUUGAUGGGUGAGAAAAAGAUUUGGGCUAAAAGGGAUUGGGAAGAAUGAGCAUUUGUUGCCACUAAAAUUCGAAAAUGAGCUCCCAAUUGGCCCAAAUUUAAUUCUUUCUCAUUGAAUAAAAAUAAAAAUAAAAAUACUACCAAAAUAUACUAAUUAAUCUUAUUUAAUAAGAAUACAUUAUUAAAGUGAACUAUAUAUUAAAAUGAAAAUAUUUUUGGUAUUGUUUUUAAAUGUUAUAAAUAUUAUAAAAUACUAAUAAGCUAAAAAAAACGUUAUAAAACUAUUUUUGUGUUUUCAAAUUUAUGCUUAAAAAUUAAAACUAAAAGUUGACUGAAAUCCUAUUAAAAAUGAAAAUAAAUAAAUAUUUUUGAAAUACUACUUUUAAAAGUUGCGCGGGUAAAAAAUUACGUGCUUACAAUUAUAUAAUCUAAGUGCGUUAAAUUUAAACCUCAAUUAAACUCUAACCAGGACGGAAAAAUUCACUCCAAAUUAUAACCAUUUGGGAGAACAAAACUUUGUUAAAUAACAAACUGAAUUAAGGUGGGCAUAUCAGAAAAUUAGUGGAUAAAGCAACAUGAGAAGUUUGUACACAUAUGAAGGUUUUCUG